rnacentral:rRNA from 1 species
AGUGAACGCUGGCGGUAGGCCUAACACAUGCAAGUCGAACGGCAGCACAGUAAGAGCUUGCUCUUACGGGUGGCGAGUGGCGGACGGGUGAGGAAUACAUCGGAAUCUACUUUUUCGUGGGGGAUAACGUAGGGAAACUUACGCUAAUACCGCAUACGACCUACGGGUGAAAGCAGGGGAUCUUCGGACCUUGCGCGAUUGAAUGAGCCGAUGUCGGAUUAGCUAGUUGGCGGGGUAAAGGCCCACCAAGGCGACGAUCCGUAGCCGGUCUGAGAGGAUGAUCAGCCACACUGGAACUGAGACACGGUCCAGACUCCGACGGGGGGAAGCAGUGGGGAAUAUUGGACGAUGGGCGCAAGCCUGAUCCAGCCAUACCGCGUGGGUGAAGAAGGCCUUCGGGUUGUAAAGCCCUUUUGUUGGGAAAGAAAAGCAGCAGGUUAAUACCCCGCUGUUCUGACGGUACCCAAAGAAUAAGCACCGGCUAACUUCGUG